UACGAAGGGUGCUAGCGUUGUUCGGAAUUACUGGGCGUAAAGGGCGCGUAGGCGGUUUAACAAGUUGGGUGUGAAAGCCCAGGGCUCAACCCUGGAACUGCACUCAAGACUGUUUUACUUGAAUUCGGUAGAGGUUGGUGGAAUUCCCAGUGUAGAGGUGAAAUUCGUAGAUAUUGGGAAGAAUAUCCGUGGCGAAGGCGGCCAACUGGACCGACAUUGACGCUGAGGCGCGAAAGCGUGGGGAGCAAACAGGAUUAGAUACCCUGGUAGUCCACGCCGUAAACGAUGCAUGCUAGACGUUGGAAACCUCAGGUUUCUUGUGUCGCAGCUAACGCACUAAGCAUGCCGCCUGGGGAGUACGGCCGCAAGGUUGAA
rnacentral:rRNA from 1 species